GACGAACGCUGGCGGCGUGCUUAACACAUGCAAGUCGAACGCUGAAGCCCUCUCGGGGGUGGAUGAGUGGCGAACGGGUGAGUAACACGUGGGUAAUCUGCCCUGUACUUCGGGAUAAGCCUUGGAAACGGGGUCUAAUACCGGAUAGGACCUGUCCUCGCAUGGGGGUGGGUGGAAAGUUCCGGCGGUAUGGGAUGAGCCCGCGGCCUAUCAGCUUGUUGGUGGGGUAGUGGCCUACCAAGGCGACGACGGGUAGCCGGCCUGAGAGGGUGACCGGUCACACUGGGACUGAGACACGGCCCAGACUCCUACGGGAGGCAGCAGUGGGGAAUCUUGCGCAAUGGGCGAAAGCCUGACGCAGCAACGCCGCGUGGGGGAUGGCGGCCUUCGGGUUGUAAACCUCUUUCGACAUCGACGAAGGGGCCCUGUUGUGGGGUUUUGACGGUAGGUGUAGAAGAAGCACCGGCUAACUACGUGCCAGCCGCCGCGGUAA
rnacentral:rRNA from 1 species